rnacentral:rRNA from 1 species
AUGGCAUGCAUGCUCCUCAAGGCCAUCAAUCUAAUGGAAAAAGUACGACACCAGGGCCGUACCCCGGCACUAGCCAGCUGCCUAGCGCAAUUACACCAAAUUGCAGCGAAAUUGCUGAUUGGUGGACGCGUCAAAGCAAACAUAGUGGCAUGCAGAUUCCCUUCGGCUUUUAAGCCGGCACUCCUGAGUCAACCAAACACACAAACUACGCUCUCAAAUCCCUCCUCCCUGCCUCCCCCUCCUCUCAAAUCCCCUGCCAAGCGCGUCUUCAGGAGGCAGCCGGGCCGGAGUGAGAGCCGCGUACGUACCGUGCCGUUCCAGGCGGCGGGCUAG